rnacentral:rRNA from 1 species
AGAGUUUGAUCCUGGCUCAGAUUGAACGCUGGCGGCAGGCCUAACACAUGCAAGUCGAACGGUAACAGGAAGCAGCUUGCUGCUUUGCUGACGAGUGGCGGACGGGUGAGUAAUGUCUGGGAAACUGCCUGAUGGAGGGGGAUAACUACUGGAAACGGUAGCUAAUACCGCAUAACGUCGCAAGACCAAAGAGGGGGACCUUCGGGCCUCUUGCCAUCGGAUGUGCCCAGAUGGGAUUAGCUAGUAGGUGGGGUAACGGCUCACCUAGGCGACGAUCCCUAGCUGGUCUGAGAGGAUGACCAGCCACACUGGAACUGAGACACGGUCCAGACUCCUACGGGAGGCAGCAGUGGGGAAUAUUGCACAAUGGGCGCAAGCCUGAUGCAGCCAUGCCGCGUGUAUGAAGAAGGCCUUCGGGUUGUAAAGUACUUUCAGCGGGGAGGAAGGGAGUAAAGUUAAUACCUUUGCUCAUUGACGUUACCCGCAGAAGAAGCACCGGCUAACUCCGUGCCAGCAGCCGCGGUAAUACGGAGGGUGCAAGCGUUAAUCGGAAUUACUGGGCGUAAAGCGCACGCAGGCGGUUUGUUAAGUCAGAUGUGAAAUCCCCGGGCUCAACCUGGGAACUGCAUCUGAUACUGGCAAGCUUGAGUCUCGUAGAGGGGGGUAGAAUUCCAGGUGUAGCGGUGAAAUGCGUAGAGAUCUGGAGGAAUACCGGUGGCGAAGGCGGCCCCCUGGACGAAGACUGACGCUCAGGUGCGAAAGCGUGGGGGAGCAAACAGGAUUAGAUACCCUGGUAGUCCACGCCGUAAACGAUGUCGACUUGGAGGUUGUGCCCUUGAGGCGUGGCUUCCGGAGCUAACGCGUUAAGUCGACCGCCUGGGGAGUACGGCCGCAAGGUUAAAACUCAAAUGAAUUGACGGGGGCCCGCACAAGCGGUGGAGCAUGUGGUUUAAUUCGAUGCAACGCGAAGAACCUUACCUGGUCUUGACAUCCACAGAACUUUCCAGAGAUGGAUUGGUGCCUUCGGGAACUGUGAGACAGGUGCUGCAUGGCUGUCGUCAGCUCGUGUUGUGAAAUGUUGGGUUAAGUCCCGCAACGAGCGCAACCCUUAUCCUUUGUUGCCAGCGGUCCGGCCGGGAACUCAAAGGAGACUGCCAGUGAUAAACUGGAGGAAGGUGGGGAUGACGUCAAGUCAUCAUGGCCCUUACGACCAGGGCUACACACGUGCUACAAUGGCGCAUACAAAGAGAAGCGACCUCGCGAGAGCAAGCGGACCUCAUAAAGUGCGUCGUAGUCCGGAUUGGAGUCUGCAACUCGACUCCAUGAAGUCGGAAUCGCUAGUAAUCGUGGAUCAGAAUGCCACGGUGAAUACGUUCCCGGGCCUUGUACACACCGCCCGUCACACCAUGGGAGUGGGUUGCAAAAGAAGUAGGUAGCUUAACCUUCGGGAGGGCGCUUACCACUUUGUGAUUCAUGACUGGGGUGAAGUCGUAACAAGGUAACCG